rnacentral:tRNA from 1 species
GGAGGGAUGGCCGAGCGGUCGAAGGCGGCGGUCUUGAAAACCGCAGUCCGGGCAACCGGACCGGGGGUUCGAAUCCCUCUCCCUCCGCCA